rnacentral:rRNA from 1 species
GAUGAACGCUAGCGGCAGGCUUAACACAUGCAAGUCGAGGGGCAGCAUAGAUUGUAGCAAUACAAUUGGUGGCGACCGGCGCACGGGUGCGUAACGCGUAUGCAACCUACCCGUCACAGGGGGAUAAUCCGGAGAAAUCUGGUCUAAUACCCCAUAACAUAUGGAUCGGCAUCGGUUCAUGUUGAAAUUUUCGGAGGUGACGGAUGGGCAUGCGUAGCAUUAGCCUGUUGGUGAGGUAACGGCUCACCAAGGCGACGAUGCUUAGGGGGACUGAGAGGUUUUCCCCCCACACUGGUACUGAGACACGGACCAGACUCCUACGGGAGGCAGCAGUGAGGAAUAUUGGUCAAUGGGCGCAAGCCUGAACCAGCCAUGCCGCGUGCAGGAUGACGGCUCUAUGAGUUGUAAACUGCUUUUGUACGAGGGUAAAGUGGGUUACGUGUAACCUUUUGAAAGUAUCGUACGAAUAAGGAUCGGCUAACUCCGUGCCAGCCGCCGCGGUAA